rnacentral:rRNA from 1 species
UACGUAGGGGGCAAGCGUUGUCCGGAAUUAUUGGGCGUAAAGCGCGCGCAGGCGGUUAUGUAAGUCACAUGUUUAAACCCAAGGCUCAACCUUGGAUCGCAUGGGAAACUGCAUAACUUGAGUGCAGAAGAGGAGAGCGGAAUUCCACGUGUAGCGGUGAAAUGCGUAGAUAUGUGGAGGAACACCAGUGGCGAAGGCGGCUCUCUGGUCUGUAACUGACGCUGAGGCGCGAAAGCGUGGGGAGCAAACAGG